rnacentral:lncRNA from 10 species
AAGAAGCAAACAGCCUGCAGAUGGGACACUUAUUCACCCCUGAUGCAAGUGUGACUGGCCUUCUUGGAUCAUUCAACCAGCAGAUGAAGAAAAAGAGGGCGAAUGGAGAAUUAUAUGUCAGAGAAUUUUAUGGAUCUUACUGGAACAGAAAUAUCAGCAGUUUGUGGCAUUAAGCCCACAAAUUUCAGGAAGUUGGAUUCCAAACUCUAGGACAUGAGGUCCAAGUCUGCUGGAGUUUGCUGUCGGUCCACUCCAGACCCUGUUUGCCUGGAUAUCACCAGCAGAAGCUACAGAACAGCCAAGAUUGCUGCCCUUUCCUUCCUCUGGAAGCUUUGUCUCACAUGGGCACCCACCAGAUGCCAGCCAGAGCUCUCCCAUAUGAGGUGUCUGUCAACCCCUUCUGGGAGGUGUCUCCCCAUCAGGAGGCACAGGGGUCAGGUACCCACUUGAGGAGGCAAUCUGUCCCUUAGCAGAGCUCAAGUGCUGUGCUUGGAGAUCCACUUCUCUCCUCAGAGCCAGCAGUCAGGAAUGUUUAAGUCUGCUGAAGCUGUGCCCACAGCCAACCUUCCCCCAGGUGCUCUGUUCCAGGGAGAUGAGAGUUUUAUCUAUAAGCCCCUGACAGGGGCUGCUGCCUUUCUUUCAGAGAUGUCCUGCCCAGAGAAGAAGAAUCUAGAGAAGCAGUCUGGCUACAGCGGCUUUGUGGAGCUGCAGUGGGCUCUGCCCAGUUUGAAAUUUCAGGCCGCUUUCUUUAUACUGUGAGGGGAAAACCGUCUACUCAAGCCUCAGUAAUGGUGGAUGCCCUUCUCUGCACCAAGCUCGAGCAUCCCAGGAUGACUUCCGACUGCUGUGCUGGCAGCGAGAAUUUCAAGCCAGUGGAUCUUAGCUUGCUGGGCUCCAUGGAGAUGGGAUCCACUGAGCUAGACCACUUGGCUCCCUGGCAUCAGCCCCAUUUCCAGAUGUUGGGUGCAGUUUCCCAAGGUGUACAAAGCAGGAAGACAUAAAAUGGCAAAAAAAAUCUGCCUGUUGGAGAUAUAUUUACAACAACUGGAUGCGAAAACAUUUCAGUUUGGCACUGUGGGCUUUUGAGCUAAUGAGUCUCAGCCUGAUUUAAGAAGUAAGCAACAAAGGGCCAAUAUGCAAAGGCCAUCUCUGGCUCAUUUAUAUAACAAUUUGUUAAAUCCUAGAGAAUGGUACAACACAGAGUGUCUAAUGUAAACUUGGACUUUUGUUAAUAAUAAUCUAUCAAUAUUGGUUCAUUAAUUUCAAUAAAUGUAUCACACAAAUGCAAGAGGUUAUCAAAAGGGGAAACUCUGUGGGAGGGGGGCAGGUAGGGAAGAGGGAGUGGGGCUAUGUGGGAACUUUAUAUACCUUCUGCACAAUUUUUCUGUGAACCUAAAACUUCUAUAGAAAAUAAAGUCUAUAAAAAUGUUAAAAGUCAAUGAGGAGAAAAAGGAGAGCGAAAUAAAUGGAAACUUGGGGGAAAUUUUGUAAUUCACAAAAUAAAAUCAAAAGUCAAAACCAAAUAAUUCUGCACAUCCAAAAUAUAACUAACAAGUCCAUUGAAUUAUAAACUGGUCAGAAACACAUGCAACAGUUAUAACAGAUCAAAAAGAGAUUUGUGCAAGUUUAAUGCAAAGGAAAUGUGGAGUAAGGCAUUAAGUAGGCAGUUUAGAGAAAAUGAAUACAAUUUUUUGAGAGGAAAGAAGGCCACCCUAACUCAAUAAACAAGUAAAAUAUUAUCACUGUGAGUUUCUAUUUUUCAUCUGUAAAUUUGGAAAAUACAAAAAACCCUGAAACCUGUAACACCCACCUGACAAACUCACAUAUGCUGUUGGUGGACAUGUACACUGGUAACUAUUUCAGAAUAUUUUUGAUAUCGUAAUAAAAACAGCACAUAGCCUUUGACAAAAUAGUUCUAUUCAUAGAAAUAUUUCCUACAUUCUUACUUACAGAUAUGCUCAAAACAUAUGUACAAGGGUGUUUGUGGCAGCUUUCGUUUUAUUAGCCAAAGACUGGACACUACCCAACUACACAUUGGUAAGAUUUGUACCAUGUAACAAGUAGCUUUUGCCAGAAAUUUUAAAUCUUGUAUGCCACUUAUUGGUUCAGGAUUUUAAUGUAUAUGUCUCUAAAUAAACUAUAUUUAUGUCUGCUUUGCAUUGAUCCCCUUCCACUGCAAAUUUUCAUCACCUAUCGAGGUCCCACCAGCCUAUUGUGUCUUUGCUUAUCUUACUGUACAGAUAACUCACAUGGAUUCCAAUAUGGACCACAAUUUGGACAGCUUCUUCAUUGUAUAAGAUAUAAGUAAAUCAUGUCACCUCAAUACAAAUAUUGAGUUCUUGAGGGCAAAUGUUAGGUCUUCUUCAUUUGUUGUUGUUUUUUUUUUUCUCCCUGGAACCUAAUACAUGAUAAAGACUUGCUGAUUAGAAGUAAUUUUUCCUAACCAUAAGACAGUUCUUAUAGUACAUAUCCUCAUUACAUAACUAUGUAUUAAACCUAAGGAAAAUGCUCAAGAGUUUGUCCCUUUUGUUUGGUCCUUGCUUUUUCUGGCACACUUCAUAUUGCCAAGGCCCGUAAGGGUAAGAGAGAGAGUCAUACCUGAACUUGAUAUUGUCAUCUGGAGGAGAUUCAUAACAACAAAGUAUCUGGAGAAAGAUAGCCCUGUAGUUUCCAUUAUACCUGUGAUAAGAAAUUAGGCAGGUUCAGUGAGAACAGGAUUAAUAUGUCACAGAAAUCACAUAUCUCCACAUCUUCCUGCAGUAAUUAACUCUCAAAUAGAGUUACCAGAUGAAACGUAGAACCCCCAGUUAGAUUUGAAUUUCAGAUCGGCAGUGCAAGUUUUUUGGUAUAAAUAUUUCUUGUGCAUCAUAUAAUUUUUAUUUUCUAAAUCUGGUAACUCUACUUUUAAGAUGUUCAAUAUAAUGACCAAGUCCAGCCAGAGGCUUCUUUCUCAUUAAAGGAUUUCUU